AGUUGCAGGACUCUAGGCUAGUUUGUGUAAAGCUUGUUUAUCAUUAGAAAUUUUGUCAUGUGUGGAUCGUGAGGUUUCUGCACAAGAACAACAGUAGGUGCAGAAACAUAUCUUCUUUAAUUGUUGACGAGGAAUAGGCUGUAUCCUUAGCAUAAAUAUGGUUGUGUGCGCUCUAUGUUCCUCGUCAACCUGAAAUGUAGUUGGAUCAUUAUGGAAAGCUCGCUAAUCAGAGUUCAAUUGGGUACAUCUCCUUUUGCAGCUACUUUCUCCUCUUUUAAUUAUUCUCCUUGUCUCAUGGCAGUUCAAACCGAUCACAGCAUGCAAAAUGGCCAAGGAGUUUUUAGUCUUUACGUUAGAAUUCAGGAUUAAUUAGGCCGAAGUACAGUCAUAUGACAUGGUGUGAUUGGUAAUUGCAGGAAUGCAAAAUUGGAAGUUGCAGAGGAUAUGUGCCCGAGCUCAAUGUUUAUUGAACAGGCAAGAUCAUGAUUGUGAUUUGAUAAGGAUCAAAAGGAAAGAAAUGUUGGGAGAAGGGGGGAUGUGAUUAUUCUCAUGGGCUGAGUAGUUAGGCUUUAUGAUUUUACCUAUGAAGUUUUUGGGCCUUGGUAUGGCUCAUCGAUAGUAGUGUUCCGGUAUAUCGCUUGGAAGACUUGGUUUUUCUGAUGUGAUGAAUAAUAAUGUUUUUUUGACCUUUCUAUAACUUCAUUUUGGAAUAAAAUGUAUUGCAUAGCUCCUAAUCAAUGCUGAACUUCUUGAGAUCUUUGAUAUAUGUUUAUCUGUGCAGGUAUGCAACAUAUGGACCUGAAUGUCUAUCCUCAGGGUGCUUACAACCCUUACAUGGCUCAGCAGUACCUUCAGAUAUAUGGAGUACCUGGAGCAGUUAACCCAGCUAUUUAUCCAUAUGGACAAGUGGGUCAAAAUGUUCCUAGCGGGCAUUGUUAUACAGCUGUACAGGAAUAUGCAGUGCCAAGUCAUCAAAUAGUGCAGUUUGGAGGAGCCGUUGCUAAUGCAAUCACAACUUCUCCAAUGGCCACAAUCCAAACACCGUAUCCUGGAGGUAUAGCAGCAUCUGUUCCAGCACAGCCACAAUUUAUUGUAACUACUAAGUUUAUGCAAGGUAGUGAUUCUGACCAAACAACUGGGUGAGGAGUUGAUCAAGGUAUCCUUAGAUUGCAGAAGGACUAAGAGCAGCGGAACUGCUACAUGAGUGGCAGGCUUCGGAUCUAGCCUUGCAAAUUAUUUAUUUUGCAUUCUACAGGUUGUACGUAGUCAUGCUCACCAGAGAAGUCAAUUUCGUCCGAGUCGCUCCAGAUGGUGGAGAAGCAAUAUGGAGGAAGGCGAGAAGUCUUCCUUGAUGGUGGUGGUGUUGUCUUUAACCUUUUGUAUUUAUAAAGAACGUUAGUAUGUACAGCUGGUUGGGAAGCCAGCAGUGAUGGGAUGCUGGAAAGGGAUUCUAGCAACCAACCACAUAGGGAAAUAAAAAUGGUGUAAAAAAGAAGGAUACGUGUCUAGAAUCAACAUAUGAUUCUUUUUCAUAGUUGUAGUAGACCCCAGCAUUUGGGUGUGUGUAUAGAUAGAUAGUCUUGUCGCUGGUGGAUUCUC